GUGGGGAAUAUUGGACAAUGGGCGCAAGCCUGAUCCAGCCAUACCGCGUGGGUGAAGAAGGCCUUCGGGUUGUAAAGCCCUUUUGUUGGGAAAGAAAUCCUGUCGGUUAAUACCUGGCGGGGAUGACGGUACCCAAAGAAUAAGCACCGGCUAACUUCGUGCCAGCAGCCGCGGUAAUACGAAGGGUGCAAGCGUUACUCGGAAUUACUGGGCGUAAAGCUGGCGUAGGUGGUGGUUUAAGUCCGUUGUGAAAGCCCUGGGCUCAACGUGGGGAGUGCAGUGGAUACUGGAUCACUAGAGUGUGGUAGAGGGAUGCGGAAUUUCUGGUGUAGCAGUGAAAUGCGUAGAGAUCAGAAGGAACAUCCGUGGCGAAGGCGGCAUCCUGGGCCAACACUGACACUGAGGCACGAAAGCGUGGGGAGCAAACAGGAUUAGAAACCCCGGUAGUCC
rnacentral:rRNA from 1 species